GUCAUCAGUAUGCGCCACUGCCCUCUCUCUGUGUGAUUGUGUGGACAUGUGCUUGCACGCUAGUGCAUGAGGAAGGACAGGGUUUAUGUUUUACCUCUCCACACACCUUUCUUUUGCAAUGUAUGGGUUGUACGAACACUGUGCGCUGUUUGUUAAGCUGCAGCCGUUCAACCGGGCUUAUAUGGUUGGCGAAGAUGAGGUUUAUUAAAGGACACACUGUGGAAUUCCUAAUGCAGUGUGAAUGUGCAUUCUUUUGACUAGCCCUGCUAAGUGUUUUGCCGCCUCCUCUCAACCACUAAACACAACCCGACGUUACACCGCCUACAGGAUGGCUGACGGCUUCAUCCGAUGCAAAUGUAUUAGGAGGUGAAACUUUUUGGUACAGCCAUUUUUGCCGACUAUACUGCCGAACCCAGACAAACUGUUAGCAAUGGCAAUGGCACUGAAGUAGAGUCACCACCACUAGACCCCCCAGUCACAUCGGAGGUGUUGGAGGAGGAGCAGGAAAGUCAGAACGUGAUGGAGCAAGACGCAGCUGAGCUUCAAACACCUCGUCAGAAUCAGCGAAACUGUUGAUCUUGCCAGAUGUGCAGAUGCAUUUGCUAUUGGUGUGCGGGAGCAAUCCCAUCUAUCACAGGCAUAAAAGACAAAUGAAGUAGAAUUAUGUAACCCAUAUCAACUACACCCUGUCACAUGACCCACGUCAGCUGAUUUGAGGUCCCUCUCCUGAUUUGCUCCUUCCACGUCGCGGCAACUAUGAAAACCGGCUGUGGAGGGAUACUUUCGGGUUGGACUCCUGCUGUGGCUGUAUGCUAAUGGCGUUUAGAACGGCGUUGGAAAACAAAGUGUUUUCUCCCCUCAAUUCAUCUAUAAAAUCGUACCACCUCAGCGGUCAGGGUUUUUUUCCCCCCUUUGAAUUGAUCUUCUUCAUAUUGAAAUGGCGAGCCGGUAGGACCAUUCUUUGUUUUUGUUUUUUCCCCCCUCUUUCCCCCCCCACUUUGCUGUCUUUGGAUUACGGACAUAUUUCCCCAUUGUAUGAAGCUGGACCCUAACGAGGAAUACCUUAAAAGUGAACUUUAAAAAAGAAACUUUAACAAAGGACCAAAAGGACUCUUAACAAAAGGACUCUUGCACAGAAAAAUCACCACAUUGAUUUAUUAAUUAAUUGUGGACAUUUAUUUAUGUUGUGUGUUGUAUUAAUUAUUUUGUUCCAUUUCCCCUUUCCCCCAUUUAUUCAAUAUAUUUUUGGUACAAGAUAUUGCAGUCUUUGGUCUCGUCAUUCACACCAUCUAGGCUCCAUAAAGAACUAUUUCUUCUGCGCGUCAGUCAGUAAACUCACCCAUUGCAAUAAAACUAGCCCUUAAAUAACUUUGCGUUACAAUUUCAUAAAAAAUUAAUGAGGUAAUCAUUUGUUCCCUUUUUCUGUUGUAACCUUUCGUGCUCCUCCAUCUUGCUCAGUGCAAUGUGUUUGCGCCACGUGAGUCAUGCAUGUGGCAUGUCAUGCAAAACAAGGCCAAUUAUUGGCUGAUUUCUUCUUCUACUGCUCCACUGGUAAAUUACAACAUUCAGUGGCUCAUUAAUUUGAGCUAAAGCCAGAAAUCGAGUUGCAUUUUGCUUCUGUCAUAUUUUCUGUUUAUGUUUUCAUGUCUCUGAUGUGUGGGGUUUUUUUUUUUUUUUUUUUUUUUUUUUUUUUGUUUUG